UGGUAUUUAGUUUAAAGUAAAAUAAAUGAUUUCGACUCAUUAGAUUGUGAUUUAACUCACAACUACCAA
rnacentral:tRNA from 1 species